UACGUAGGGUGCAAGCGUUGUCCGGAAUUAUUGGGCGUAAAGAGCUCGUAGGCGGUUUGUUGCGUCGGCUGUGAAAUCCCGAGGCUCAACCUCGGGUCUGCAGUCGAUACGAGCAAACUAGAGUGUUGCAGGGGAGACUGGAAUUCCUGGUGUAGCGGUGAAAUGCGCAGAUAUCAAGAGGAACACCUGCGGCGAAGGCGGGUUGCUGGGCUGACACUGACGCUGGAGGCGCGAAAGCUAGGGGAGCGAACGGG
rnacentral:rRNA from 1 species